rnacentral:sRNA from 1 species
AAUUAAAAAAAGACCGAAUACGAUUCCUAUAUUCGGUCCAGGGAAAUGGCUCUUGUGAGAGCCGUGCGCUAAAAGUUGGCAUUAAUGCAGGCGGUGUCGCCUUGCCCUUUAAAGAGUAGACAAACUAAGGGGGAAUUCCAGCCG